AAGGAUUUUAAACAAACAUCAUAAUCAAGUAUUCAUUGUUUUUUUUUUAAAUGACAUCAUCAUUAACCACCUCUGAUUGGUUCCUCAAAAUAAGUUAGGAGAAUCCCAUCCCAUUUUUCCCCCCAACCGUCUCCUGGUUAUAUUGGGAUACAAACAAUGAGGUAAAAUACCCCACAUAGAAGCAGUAAACCCAAACAGGUAAAUUAUAAGAUUAAAUAAACUAACCAAAGUCGGAUUUCCGCAUUUUUAAUUGCAGUCUCUCAUUUCCGACUUAAAUUUAAUUAGCUUCAACAGCUCAUCAGUUCCAACUAAUUCUUCCACUUAAAUCACUUUCAUGUCAUGAAUAUGGAUAAUCCCCCUUCAGUUUGCUACGCGUUCAGCAAAUCAGCAAUUCAACACGUCAUUAAUUAAACAUGAGAGAGUGCGGUUGGAUAAUGUGCAUGUCAUUAACUCCGCUUCCUCUUUUGUUCCAGCGCGGAUUUACACCACGUCGGUGACGACCGGAGACAUGCAGGUUCUGGUGCGGUUUGUGGCGAUGACUCUGCUCAACUUCUGGGUGCUGCUCACUGUGAUCUAUUACCAACGAAGAAGAAGCAGCAGCUCCAAGAAAGAUGACUAAUCUAGUGGUUUCUUCUUCAACGCUUACUGGGUCACCACAGGCACAAGAAAUACGGAAACAAUCUAAGGGUAACCGUUACUACUGUUAAAAAGAAAGUACACCCCGUUUCAUUUCUAGUUUUUACUUAAGAGGAUUUCAUAAAUGUUCUGAAAUUUUUUUUAAGGUACUAAAGUAGUUUAAACGUAAUCUUGAAUGUAAAAAAACAAAAACAAAAAACAGAUGCGACUGUUGGUGUCUUUAAUCCUCACAGCUUACUGUAAAAAAUGUGUUUGACUAAAGUUUACCUGCAGGAGGUCGCUGAGUUACUUUGAAUUGAUCAGAGAAACAAACAGUAUCAGAAAUACAAUGUGCUUAAACAGGCAAGCUUUAAAAACC